AGCUUUAAAAGCUAAACGGCUAGUUGUUAA
rnacentral:tRNA from 1 species